CCCAUGAAAACCUCUCAUUGCAGUGAAAUUGAAAAAUUGGUCAGUUGUCAUAUUUCCCACGUGGAGAAAACAUAUGAGAUAGAAUGUGUUGACUCCUGGAUGAUGAGAAGGGCUAUCGUAUCCAGCCUUGUGGAGCACAAUGUAAUUACAGAGCAAUUAAGACUCAAGUGCUUUCCCUCGCCAUGUGCUGCUGAAAAUUCCUUGAAAUUAGCUAAGUCAGGGUCAUACACCGGUUUGUUGCCUCAUUCCCAACAGAUUUUCUGUUGGUCUGUGAUCCGCCUUGUUAACAAUGGAAUAGCUGCCAUUACAGAUACAAACAAAUCAACAUGUUAUACUAGCGACAAAAGGAGGUUCCUAAGUGCCAUACAAACUAAACUAGAAGGAAUGUGGGAUAAAACUAAAUUUCACAUUUCUGAAUGUCCUUUAACAAUAACAUAUGACAAGACUGAAGGAGAGAUCGAGAUCACCAGAAGCACCACGAAAAAGAUAGAGACGUUUAUACUCACAAAUUUACACUAUGCAAUAGAAUUUCCAGAGACAAGAAAGAGUUGCCCAACAGAAGGAGUUAUCUUAACAGACAGUCCCACGUUUAUCACGAAAUCGUGGACAUUGACCAGAGCCUGAAGAUGCCGUAUGAAAUAGAGGAAAAGGAAGAGGGGGACGGUCAUUCUUACGUCACUCUUCAGCAAAAGGAAAGUGGUCCCAGUGAGAAGCCAUCAAUGGUCGAUGCCAGUAACAAUCGGUCUUCUGUCUUGUACAUAAAUACCGCCCAUUCGGAGCAAUAUGAUAAGCCGUCAAAGAGUAAAGACACAUCACUAAAAGAAACAAAUUUGGAGAAAACCACCGAAGGUUUCGUAAAAAUACAAACAAGACAAGAGAAAGUUAUUCAAGAACUCAAUACUCAGCUACUAAAGACAUUUCAAUAUCGAAAGGGAAUUGAACCAAAAGUGUAGAGAAAUGGAGA